rnacentral:rRNA from 1 species
AACACAUGCAAGUCGAACGGAGUAAAACGCUGGAUUGAUAGCUUCGGCAGGAUUUCCUUGUUUUACUUAGUGGCGGACGGGUGAGUAACGCGUGAGCAACCUGCCCUUGAGUGGGGAAUAACGUUCUGAAAAGAACGCUAAUACCGCAUAAUAUAUCGGUACCGCAUGGUACUGAUAUCCAAGAUUUAUGGCUAAAGGAUGGGCUCGCGUCCGAUUAGGUAGUUGGUGAGGUAACGGCUCGCCAAGCCGACGAUCGGUAGCCGGACUGAGAGGUUGAACGGCCACAUUGGGACUGAGACACGGCCCAGACUCCUACGGGAGGCAGCAGUGGGGGAUAUUGCGCAAUGGGGGAAACCCUGACGCAGCAACGCCGCGUGAAGGAUGAAGGUUUUCGGAUUGUAAACUUCUUUUCUUAGGGAGGAAAUUUGACGUUACCUAAGGAAUAAGCUCCGGCUAACUACGUGCCAGCCGCCGCAGUAACAC